rnacentral:snRNA from 10 species
AUCUUUGCACAGUGGCAGUAUCGUAGCCAAUGAGGGUCUAUCUGAGGUGCAAUUAUUGCUAAUUGAAAAAAAAAAUACACAC